AACGAACGCUGGCGGCAGGCUUAACACAUGCAAGUCGAACGCCCCGCAAGGGGAGUGGCAGACGGGUGGGUAACGCGUGGGAACGUGCCCUUCGCUUCGGAAUAGCCCCGGGAAACUGGGAGUAAUACCGGAUACGCCGUAUUGGGAAAGAUUUAUCGGCGAAGGAUCGGCCCGCGUUAGAUUAGCUAGUUGGCGGUGUAAUGGACCACCAAGGCUACGACCUAUAGCUGGUCUGAGAGGAUGAUCAGCCACACUGGGACUGAGACACGGCCCAGACUCCUACGGGAGGCAGCAGUGGGGAAUCUUGGACAAUGGGCGCAAGCCUGAUCCAGCCAUGCCGCGUGAGUGAAGAAGGCCUUAGGGUAGUAAAACUCUUUCGCCGGAGAAGAUAAUGACGGUAUCCGGAGAAGAAGCCCCGGCUAACUUCGUGCCAGCCGCCGCCGUAAUAC
rnacentral:rRNA from 1 species